rnacentral:rRNA from 1 species
GCUUAUUUGCGCAGUAUAGGUGGGAGGCUAAGAUAAUAUAUUUGCGGAUAUACAGAAGCCAAUAGUGAGAUACCACUCUAAAUAAGCUAAAAUUCUAACUCUGAAAGCCGUUAACCGGCCAGAGAACAGUUCCAGGUGGGCAGUUUGACUGGGGCGGUCGCCUCCUAAAAGGUAACGGAGGCGUACAAAGGUUUCCUCAGACUGGUCGGAAAUCAGUCUUAGAGUAUAAAGGCAUAAGGAAGCUUGACUGCAAGACCUACAAGUCGAGCAGAGACGAAAGUCGGUCUUAGUGAUCCGACAGUGCUGAGUG